rnacentral:rRNA from 1 species
UACGAAGGGGGCUAGCGUUGUUCGGAAUCACUGGGCGUAAAGCGCACGUAGGCGGAUUCUUAAGUCGGGGGUGAAAUCCUGAGGCUCAACCUCAGAACUGCCUUCGAUACUGGGGAUCUUGAGUUCGGAAGAGGUUGGUGGAACAGCUAGUGUAGAGGUGAAAUUCGUAGAUAUUAGCUAGAACACCAGUGGCGAAGGCGGCCAACUGGUCCGACACUGACGCUGAGGUGCGAAAGCGUGGGGGAGCAAACA